AGGUAUAUGUUUAUUUCUCAUAAAAAUGAGAUAUAUAUUCUUAAACCUUAUUUUAUAAGGAAAAUAUAUAUAUAAAUUAGUAGAUUUGCGAAAAUCACAAAUUAACUAAUACAUUAUAGUCUAUAAUGUAUAAACUUAUCUGAAGGAUUUAAUAUUUGAUAUGCAUUCAAUAUGUAAACACAACAUUCUUAGCUAAAUGCCCCGCCGAAGGCGGGGAAAAUGAUUAACCAUAGGAAUGUACCUUAUUAUCCUUGCGUACACUUAAGGCAACAGAUAAGAAAAAAAUCCAUAGAUGAUAAAAUCAUUACUGACUCACGUCGUAAUUAACCCAUCUCAAGUAACUCCUUAGAGGACGAACAGUCCUACCCUACCUAGUUGCUGCGACCAGGAGGACGAGUCUAGACGACCAAAUUUUAUUUUCAUAAAUAUGUAAAUUCGACCCUUAUAAUAAAGGAUUAAAUUUUAUAUCUCUCUUCACCUCCUUUGGAGGGUGAAUAUAUAUUUCCUUCGAAGAAGGGGAUAUAUAACACUUCAUAAUAUAUUUUUUAAAUAUAUUUUUCAAUAAUUUUUAUUAUUGUUUAGACUAUGUCUUAAAAUUAUUAUUUUAUUAUUCCUUGAUUAUUUAAUAAUUAACCCCCGAAGGAGGUUAACCAUCCUAAUAAAAUAAACCUUUUAGUUAUAUAAUAUUUAAUUAUAUCCCUUCUCUCUCCCUUUUAUGCCCUAGGAGCCGGGAAAGAGAAAAUAGGGCAUAUUAUAUAUAAUUUCUAGGGCGCUCAUGGAAAAUUUAUUGUUAUACUACUCAUUUUCUAGUCGUUGAACGUUUAUAAUUCUUUAUAUAAAACUCUUAUAUUUACUACCGGAGCUUUGCUCCGGUCAGAUAUGAGAAAUAUAUAUGUAUAAAUUAUACUUCGCUGCAAGUUGUCUUAGAUAUAUACAUACCCUUAGAUUUUCUUACAAUUCACCCUAUUUAAUCUCGACUAUCGUAUUAAUCGAGGUGGCAAACACCGCUGACGAUAUCAACUCUCACGCGGUAUUACCCUGUUCAAUUUUGUUAUCGUUGCUUUUUUAAUUACAACUUCUAUAUAUCACUAUAUAGUUCAGACUAUGUCUUUACCUUAUUUAUAAAUAAUGGCAUAAAAUUACCUGAGUAAUUUUAUGAUAAAAUUGAUAAAUGCCCCGCGAAGCGGGGAGGUAUUGGGCGCUCGUGGUAAUAUUAUUGUUAGUUUACUCAAUUACUAGUCGUUGAACGUUCAUAUAUCUAAUUUUAAACUUCCCCCACCAUAAGUAGGCAUAUAUGCUUCGCUACAAAUUGUCUUUAUGUAGAUAAAGAGUUUUUUGUAAUUCACCCAAUUAAUAUACCCUCAUUUGAGGGCUAUCUCACUAUCGCGGAGAUAAUAUAUAUUACAGCCCGCAGCAAGCUGCGGGCCUCUAUAUAAAGGAACUAACAUUUAAUCCCUAGCGUAACUUUAAUCCGUUAUCGACAUCCAUACCAUUUGUUUAUGCCUGUUCACUACACUCUACGUAAGUACUAAUUUCACUUGUUAGUGUUAUUAUCAUCGCACAAUUAUGUUGUUAUCCUUACUUAUAAUCUUACAGAAAAUUUCUGUUUUAUUCUAUUUACCAUAUAGAAUUAUUGUACGUAAUUUACUAUUAAAUAAAAAAUUUAAUUAAACAUUAAGUCUUGAUAAAUCAAGAUCAUUGUUAUUAGACACAUCAGAUGCUUUCGCUGAUGUCGACGCCCCAUCGAAACUAACCUCUUUACUCUUUCUUAAAUAAGUAAAACUUAAAUCAUUAGUAUAACUAAUAACCCUGUAUUACAAGGUAACUCGAUAUUAUCGAGUUUUGACUUUAUUAAUUAGAUUCUUUUUUCAUUUAUAUAGGUAUCUCAUUUGAUUUAAAAUAUAAAUAUAACCUAAUCUACUCCUCCCUCGCGAAAGGUUGAUAAUCCACCAGAAGCGAAAAAUCUACUGAAAUAAAUGAAAAAAGGCUAACCAUAGCUAAGCUAUGAUUAAUAAUCAAAAUAAAGAUAUAGUAAAGCUGCAUAGGGUCUUUUUGUCAACCUACGGAUAUACGGCAUCUUCCAAUUCUGAUUAACUUAAGUAGGUUUGACCUACAAAGGUUUCUUACUUAUGUACUAAUAAGUUAUAUCAGUAUUACUGAUAUAUCUUUCACCUUUAUAUAAUAAAUUUCUAUUACCCACCAAAAGUGAAUGAUAAUUUACACCCGGCCCAGCCGGGUAUUUAAGAAAUAAUAAUUUAUCGAUUAAUCAUCUUUUAUAUAGAUUAUGGGGGGGGGAGGAGGGCCUCCCUAAUUAAUUUAUUAUAUUACAGAAUCCGACUGUACAUUUAGACAGACAUUUCAGUCUAACCUCGGUGAACCAGUCUGUAGCGACAUAUACAACUGCCGACGGUCUUUAACUAAGAUAUCAUUGACCGUUUUCACCUUUUUAUUUAUAGCGAUUAAAUUACAUUUUGCCUUAUGUAAUUCACCCUCAUAUAGAGGAAUAAGUAUUAUUCGAUUGUAUUCUUAUCACUAUAUAUAUAGUAUGAAUUAUAUUUAUAUAAAUUAAAUUCAUUAAUACUCAUCUAUCUUUUAAGAUAUUUAAUUUUAUCCGGCUUAGCCGGGAUCAAUUAAAACUAUAAAGUUGGAUUCUCACCAACCCGGCGUAUAAUAUACCAAUAAUAAAUGGAUUAUUUAUAUUAUAGUACUAAAUUUCACCGCAAUUGCUAUUUCACUGAGUCUACUUUGGAUACAGUUAUCGCAUCGUAUAUUCAUUCAUGCAGGACGUCAAUUAUACGUCAAUGAAUUUUGCUACCUUCGGAUCCUCACAAUAAGACCGCCGUUUAUCAGCCUUUUAUAAAAUUAUCUUAAUAAUAAUAAUAUUUAUUAAACUAACACCGGGCAGAUAUCACUUAUUAUACUUACUAUUACUAGUAUGCAAUAAGCUAUGUUUUUGGUAAACAGUCGCACGAUUUAUUUUGCCGAGUUCAUUCAAAGUAGUUAUCCCAUUCCCUUGUUAUCAUACCUGUGUCGGUCUACAGUACGGUUCAUUUUUAUUUUCUUGUUCUUUCACCCAUUAAUUAUAUAUUUCUAUAUUAAUCUUAGGGACCGUUCGUUUAUAGUAAAACCUUAUGAAUAAGGGGAUAAUCUUAUAUUAUCUAUCGUUACUCAAGCCAGCAAUCUCUUUAUAAUUAUCCAUUAUAUAUUCUGCUACCAUAUAAUCUUUUUGAUUAUAUCUAUAAUACUGUUAUUAAUUUAGACCCGAUAUAUUUUCUCUAUUAUUAAUAAAUAUAUAUAAAUAUAUAUAUAUAUAUAUAAAAUUAGUGCAUUGUUACAUGUUCAUUAAAAGUUGAUUAUUGUCAAACCCACUUACUAAUUGUCUAUAAUUUAAUUCCCCGUAUAUAAUAUCUUUAGUUUAACUAAAGAUAAAAUAAUGUAAAAUCUAUAUGAUUUUAACUUUUAUAAAUCUACUAAAGGUAGAUAUAAAAGUAGGAUAGAUUUUGUUCACUUAAUUAAUAUUUGGGACAUUCAUUUAAUAGUCUAGGUUGUUUCCUUCUCGACCUACUACCUUAUCGCAAUAAGUCUGACUCCUUAUAUUACAUUAUUAACUGAUUCCGAGGUUUAAAUAUUUUGAUAAAAUUAUAUUCUAAUUCCCCAAAGGUAUUUAAGUGCUGUACCAGUUUAAAUGCCCUACAAAGCAGGGAUAUAAAGGCUAUACUAAAAUAUAUUUCGCAGAAAACCAGCUAUCUGCAAACCAGAUUUGUCUGUCACAGCUACACACACCUCUUUAGAAAUUAUUGCUACAAUUACCUAUUGAGUCAUAUAUAAACCUUAUAAGGUUUUAUAUACACUUGGACAUGUGUAGAUCGUUUGCUUUCGGGCCUAUAUACUUUAAUUUAUAUCUAUUUAUAUAUAAAAAAAUUUUUUUUUUCACUAAAAUAUAUAACUCACUGGCCCAUUAUACAAGAGGUACGUUAUUCUAUAACUGCUCUUUAUUAUUCUAUUUACUUACUUUCCCUUGCGGUACUUUAAUCUAAAAUUUAAUUUUAUUUCUUAGUAGUUGGAAACUACUAUAUUCUUACCUCUUGGUAAUACUUUAAGAUUUUAAUACUUUCACUCACCGUUACUAAUAUUAUCCCUGUUGGUUAUUUAACAAGUUACUCAGAUGUUUCAUUCCACUUGUUUUAUUUUUUAUCAUUUUCAUGAUUAUGAUUGAUUACUGUUAUUUACAGUUCCUUCCUAAGAAGGUACAUCUUUAUAUCAUUUUUUUAAUUUUGAUUCGUAAUCCUUAAAAUAAUAUUAAUUACAUAUACCAUUUUUCAAUAUAUCACCU
rnacentral:rRNA from 1 species